UACGUAGGCAGCAAGCGUUGUUCGGAGUUACUGGGCGUAAAGGGCUCGUAGGCGGCCCACUAAGUCCGACGUGAAAUCCCCAGGCUUAACUUGGGAACUGCGUCGGAUACUGGUGGGCUUGAAUCCGGGAGAGGGAUGCGGAAUUCCAGGUGUAGCGGUGAAAUGCGUAGAUAUCUGGAGGAACACCGGUGGCGAAGGCGGUUCUCUGGGCAUGUCCUGACGCUGAGGAGCGAAAGUGUGGGGAGCGAACAGG
rnacentral:rRNA from 1 species